GGCCAGACUCCUACGGGAGGCAGCAGUGAGGAAUAUUGGUCAAUGGGCGGAAGCCUGAACCAGCCAAGUCGCGUGAGGGAAGAAGGCCCUGCGGGUCGCAGACCUCUUUGGACGGGGAGCAAGGCCGCCGACGUGUCGGCGGAAGGAGAGUACCCGUAGAACAAGCAUCGGCUAACUCCGUGCCAGCAGCCGCGGUAAUACGUAGGGGGCAAGCGUUAUCCGGAAUUAUUGGGCGUAAAGAGUACGUAGGUGGCAACCUAAGCGCAGGGUUUAAGGCAAUGGCUCAACCAUUGUUCGCCCUGCGAACUGGGAUGCUUGAGUGCAGGAGAGGAAAGCGGAAUUCCUAGUGUAGCGGUGAAAUGCGUAGAUAUUAGGAGGAACACCAGUGGCGAAGGCGGCUUUCUGGACUGUAACUGACACUGAGGCACGAAAGCGUGGGGAGCAAACAGGAUUAGAUACCCCCGUA
rnacentral:rRNA from 1 species